AUUGAACGCUGGCGGCAGGCCUAACACAUGCAAGUCGAACGAGUGGCGGACGGGUGAGUAAUGUCUGGGAAACUGCCUGCUGGAGGGGGAUAACUACUGGAAACGGUAGCUAAUACCGCAUACCAUCGGCAGUGCCAAGAUGGGAUUAGCUAGUAGGUAGGGUAACGGCUCACCUAGGCGACGAUCUCUAGCUGGUCUGAGAGGAGUACCAGUCACACUGGAACUGAAACACGUUCCAGACUCCUACGGGAGGCAGCAGUGGGGAAUAUUGCACAAUGUGCGCAAUCCUGAUGCCGCCAUGCCUCGUGGAUGAAGAAGGCCUUCGGGUUGUAAAGUACUUUCAGCGGGGAAGCGUUACCCGCAGAAGAAGCACCGGCUAACUCCGUGCCAGCCGCCGCGGUAAUUC
rnacentral:rRNA from 1 species